CCAGUAGUGAUGUAUGGAAGUGAGAGCUGGACCAUAAAGAAGGCUGAUCGCCAAAGAAUUUAUGCUUUUGAAUUAUGGUGCUGGAGGAGACUCUUGAGAGUCCUAUGGACUGCAAGAAGAUCAAACCUCUCCAUUCUUAAGGAAAUCAGCCCUGAGUGCUCACUGGAAGGACAGAUCCUGAAGCUGAGGCUCCAAUACUUUGGCCACCUCAUGAGAAGAGAAGACUCCCUGGAAAAGACCCUGAUGUUGGGAAAGAUGGAGGGCACAAGGAGAAGGGGACGACAGAGGACGAAAUGGUUGGAUAGUGAUCUCGAAGCUACCAGCAUGAGUUUGACCAAACUGCGGGAGGCAGUGGAAGACAGGAGUGCCUGGCGUGCUCUGGUCCAUGGGGUCAUGAAGACUAAACGACUAAACAACAAAAUUGUCUGCACUAACUGGCAGCAGCUCUACAGGAUUUGGGACAGGGGGUCUUUUCACACCCUACCUGGACCCUCUUAGGGAUUUAGCCCAUGAAGUUCUGUAUGCAAAGCAGAUGUUUUUUUCCACUGAGCUAUGCCCCUUCCCCACAUCUAUCAGUGCUUGUCAGUUCAUUAUAAGAGACAUUACAGCUGUUUGAGAGUUAGUGGUGGAGCUAAUCCUUUUUCAAAGCCAUCCAAAUUGGUGGACAUCAACUACCUCUCUCAGGAGAAAAUGCCAGAGUGUGCUAAGUGAAGAAGUCUUUCCUUUUGUUUGUCUUGGCUCUUUAAACAUCAAAUGAUGUCCCUGUUGGGUUCUGGUAUUCCAAGAGAGGGAGAAAAAUCUCCCUGUUCACUUUCUAGCAGACAGUAAAAACCAGCAGGCUUUCUGAGAGUGGGGUGCUGAUAAAACAGAAGUGAUUUCUCUCUUUUUCUUUUCAAAAGAGCUUCAUUGUGAUAGUCGCCAUUCUCCUUAGCCAGUACAUAUCUAAGGAGAUCCAGGUCCCUAUGUCUUUUUCAACGGAUAUUUUUUUUAUUUUUAUGAUUGAACAAACGUUUCAGAUUCUGGGUUGUAUGCAGACUCCUAGAUAUUCAACUGGACUAACUUUCCAUGGAUUAAAAAAGAAAAAUCCUCCCCCCUCCCCCCCAAAUCUUUAUCUAUCAGAACAGGUAACAAGAGAUAAACAUAAAAUAAUUAAAACAUCCGAUGCACUGAUAUAGGAUGGAAGACAUCUGGCUUGACAGCAGUAUGCACGUAAAAAGGAACUAGACCGCAAGUUUAAGAGCAGUCUGAUGAAGCAGCAAAAGGCUAUGUUGACAGAAGCAGAGUGUCCAGAUCAAGGAGAAUAAUAGUCCCACUCUAUUCUGCCUUUGUCAGACCCCCACCUGGAGUCCUUUGUCCAGUUCUGGACACCACAAUUCAAGAAGGAUAUCGACAAGACAGUCGCUUGAGUUGGGGCAUUGCUUAGAGGUUUUUUGUUGGAGUGGGGAUUGUUGGUGAGACUGAUACUAUUUUUUUGUAUUUUUAUUUUAAAAACUUAUGAUUUAUGUGCAAAUCGUUUAAUGUAGCUGUACACUUUUUGAUGUUUUAUUUAUUGUUCAUGACUACUUUGGAUUAUGUUUGUAACCAUGUGAUAUCCCCCCCCCCCCGUUUUGUAAGCUGCCUUGAGCAUGGUUUGAACUGUGAAAAGGUGGCAUACAAAUGAAAUUAUGUAUGCUUGUAUGAAUGUGUUCAGCGAAGAACGACAGAGUGAGCUCCCGUUGCUCUGUCCCAGCUUCUGCCAACCUAGCAGUUCGAGAGCAUGCCAGUGCAAAUAGAUAAAUAGGUACUGUUGUGGUGGGAAGGUAAAUGGCAUUUCCAUGCACACUGCUUUCCGUCAUGGUGUCCGGUUGCACAAGAAGCGGUUUAGUCCUGCUGGCCACAUGACCCGGAAAGCUGGCUGUGGACAAAUGCCGGCUCCCUGGGCCUGAAAGCAAGAUGAGCGCCGCAAUUCCAUUGUUGCCUUUGACUGGACUUAACCGUCCAGGGGUCCUUUACCUUUACCUUUCAGGGAAGGGUGACAUAGAUGAGGAAGGGUCUGGAAACCAAGCCUUAUGAGCAACAGUUGAAGGCAUUGGGCAUGUUUAGCAUGGAGAAGAGAAGGCAGAGAUGAUAGCCAUCUUUAGAAACUUAAAGGGCUUUCAAAUGGAAGAUGGAGCAAGCUUGUUUUCUGCUGCUCCGGAGAGGAAACCCUGAACCAAUGGAAUCAACUGAUGAGAAAGGAGAUUCUGACUAAAUAUUCGUAAUAACUCUCUGAGCUGUUUGACGGUGGAACAGACUCCUUCAGAAGGUGGUGGAUUCCCCUUCAUUGGAGUUUAAAAUGAGGUUGAAUGGCCACCUUUCAGGGAUUCUUUAGCUGCAUUGCAAAGCAGGGACUAGAUUACCUUUGGGAUCACUUCCAACUCUACUAUUCUAUGAUUCUAUCAGCACUUUCCAUUAAUGUUAAUCCCUGAUGUUAAACUGGUUCCUUAAUUCUAUUUUGCAUAUUAAAUGCCACCCAUGCGGAUUUUACUUUCAUUAAUUUUACAAUCAGGCACAUUUACUGAAUUGAUUCAAUAUAUGGUCUUUAUGUGGAGGAAAGUUGAAGACCAUCUCUUGAUGUCCCCCCUCUUCUCCCCUUUCUACCUCUACUUUCCUCACACAAGGGUCAGAUCCACACCAUUCAUUCCCCCAAAUAAUACAGGGAGCUAUAAUUUCUCAAGGGUACUGGCAAUUGUAGCUCUGUGAGGGGUAAAGUACAGUUCCCAGGAUUCCUUGUGCUUUAAGUGUCCCUUCAAUUUGCAAAUGUAACGAUCUCUCAGACAAGCUUGUGCAAGGAGCUCUGGCAAACGUCAUCAUUUGUGUGGUUUGAUCCAACAGCCCAAACCUUUGGGAGAUUAUCUGAAGGCUGGAAUUAACUGGAAAAAGGAGCUCUGGUCAGUUUCACUAUUGUCAAGUAGGUGUGUUUUGUUUUUAAUCUCGAAGCUCAGUUCUUGCAAAUUUAUCUCGCCUGAUCUCUUAAUUGCAGGUCAGAUGGCUUUGGAAACCUUCCUGCAAAAAUAAACACAUUUUGAAGCAAUUUUGUUCCAUUUAGGAACAUGACCAAGCCGCUCUGCUCUGAGUCAGACCAUUCAUCCGUCUAGUUCUGCUCUGCCUUCACUGGUUGGCAGCAGCUGUUCCAGGAUCUUUGAGAGAGACAUUCCAAGCCCAACUGGGAGAUCUUGAAGACUGGACCUGGGACCUGCAUGCAAAGCAGAUGCUCUGCUACUGAGCUACUUAAAUCUCGACCUCAGCAAUAAGCCCUAAAUGGUACCCCACCCCUUGCUGGUCCCUAAGCAUAUCAAGCCUUUGGAGCUGGAGUCAGUCAGGUCCUGCCCUUCCAGGUCACGUGGAAAUAGGCCAAGUAUAUAGCUGCUGCUGCUGCUGCUGCUGCUGCUGCUGCUGCUUCUUCUUCUUCUUCGUCUUCUUCUUCUUCUUCUUCUUCUUCUUCUUCUUCUUCUUCUUCUAUCACUCCUAGCCAAGUAAGAUUGUCUUCCAUAAACACGGGUUUAACAGUGAGUCCAUAAGUGACUGUUGAGGCCAAUUCCGGAUCCACACGUCCUUCCACAGUGGGGACAUAGGUUCCUGGAUGGGAGUUGAUCAAGGUGAGGAUUUGCCAAGCAUGCCUUCCUCUUAGCUUGUUUUCCCCUUUUGUCCUGAGUUUGAGCGUCUUCAAAGUCCAUGACACCUUUGUAAAGGCUGUUCUCCAAUUGGAGCACUCGCAGGCCAGUGUUUCCCAGUUGUCGGUGUUUAUACUACAUUUUUAAAUAUUUGCCUUGAGAGAGUCUUUAAACUUCUUUUGUUGACUCCCAGCAUUACGCUUUCCAUUUUAAAGUUUGGAAUAGAGUAGUUGCUUUGGAAGACGAUAAUCAGGAGACUUCCGGGUCAGCGCCAUCGGUGAAUGGCGGAGUUCCUCCGUCCGGAGGAACAGGCUCCGUGGAAACUGGGUCUUCCCGCCGCGGCGAAGGUGGGGACCCGCUAGAAAUCUCAGGCAGAGGAAGCCUGGGAACGUGGGGUUCGGCAGGACACCAGGAGCGCCCCCCUACUCGCGGGGAACCCCAUUUAGGGGCUCCGGAGCGAAGUGGGGUGAGAAGCGCGGUGCUGUGAACUGACUGCUACUUUCAUGGUGUGAAGCCGCACAGCCAUUGCCAGAGAGCGCUGACUUUUUCCUGUGGACAAUUGGAUUUAAAACAAGUACCCAUGAGUAGAAACAGAAAAUUGGAUCAAGAAAUUAAGGUAAUUUGAAUAAUAGAAUUUGGGGAAAGAUGGAAAGGAUUUGUUGAGCUAAUUAUUAGGUUAAAUUGUUAGGAUAAUUAUUUUUUUUAAACAAAAAUUGAGAAAGAUGGAAAGAAUUUGCUGAAAUAACUAACUAAACUAGAAUACUAAAAGGGAGGUGUGAGGAAGUCAUUGAAACAAGCAAAUGGAAGUUAUAGAUAUGUAACUUGGGAUCUGUGUUGUUUUCUUUUUUCUUUUUAUCUUUUUGUCGUAUUGUUGUAUUGGUUUUUGUGCUUUUUUCUUUUUUUCUUUUUAUGUAUUAUAGUGUUGUCUUUCAAUGUUUCUUUUUUUUCCCUUAUAAUUCUGAAACUACUAAUAAAUAUUAUUUUUUUUAAAAAAAGGAAGACGAUAAUCAGGCAUCCAAACAACAUGACCAGUCCAACGAAGUUGACCUCAGGUGCUGAAUGCUUGUGCCUGGGUCAGUCUAAUUUUUCUGGUUGUUGGGAAUGAUGUGAUAUAUCUGCAUUGCAAAAGCUGGAGAAGGUUUAAAAGAGAGCUGCAUUUCAGUUUGGGUAUUGUUUCGGGAAGUGACAAGGAGAUUCAUUUUCAAAUUUAUUCUCCCCCCCCCCAAAUCCUUGCCUCCUUGAAGACUAAUAAUAAUAAUAAUAAUAAUAAUAAUUUUACCUAUUGAAUUUAUAUCCUGCCUUUCCUUCCCAAGGAACCCUGGGUGGCAUAUACUAUUUAAAAACCACAAACAAAGCCAAAACAUUCUAAAACAAUUAAAACAUUCUAAAAGCAAUUAGAAAUAAAAACAUCCUUCCAUCCAAUGAUCUCAAGGUUUCCAGAAAUAGUAUUCUUCAGCCAACAGAUGUAUCUGGGUAAACAAGAACAUUUUCAAAUUCCUCCAGGAAGUUAAUAAUGAUGGACAUACUUCAGCAGGGAGGGCAUUUCGCAACUGGGGAACCACCACUAAAAAGGCCGUGUCAGGGCCAACCCCAGCUCAAAAUUUUAUAAUUGGAUGCAGGGCCAAUAAAAGGAUGCAAUGUAAAAUUAUGACACCAGAACCGGAGAGUCCCUUCAAAAAAAUCAGUUAUAGCUUGCUGGUGGGUGAAAUGGUUUAUCUCCCUCAUGAGGUCAAAGGUUGCAGCAUUUGGGGAUUUUCAGUUUAGCAAAAAAGUGAGUAAGAGGCGAUGUGAGAGAGGUUUAUAAAAUGAUGCACAGCCUGGAGAAAGCGGACAGAGAAUUUUUGUUUUUCCUCUCUCACAACACUAGAACUCGGGGACAUCCAAGGAAGAUGAAUGUUGGAAGAUUCAGGACAGAUCAAAGAAAGGACUUUUUUUUAACUGUGGAACUCACUGCCACAGGAGGUAAGUGAUUGCCACCAACUUGGAUGGCUUUAAAAGAGGACUGGGCUGCAUCAAUGCAACACUGGAAAAGGUACUAUGAUACAUAUAUGGUGGAAUUCUUUAAACAUCAAACAAUUUUGGGAAACAAUAUAUAACGAAAUGAAAAAAUGUUUAGAUAUUCAUUUAGGAAAACACCAGAAGGUUUUCUAUUGGGAAUAGUACCAGGAAGUCUAAAGGAAGAAGACAAGACAUUAUAUUUAUAUACAACAGUAGCCGCAAGGCUGUUGAUUGCGAAAAAUUGGAAAAGUGGUAUUAUACCGACAAAAAUAGAGUGGCUUGCCAAAUUAUUGGAGUACUAUAAUAUAUCCAAAACAAUGGGAGAAAUUGGAAGGAUCUCAAAAGAGAAGAUAGACAGGGACUGGAAGGUGUUUAAAGGAUACAUGCAAAACCAUAUUGAAAAAUCAGAACUCCUAUUAGAAUAAACAAGUUCUGUUUUAAAUACUGGAAUACUAAAUAAGAUGGAUAACAAUGUGUAAUAGAAAAAGAAGUAUGAAAUUAGGUUAAAGGUGUGUGAAAGAAAGUAAUAGAAGUGGAAAGAAAUUGCAAUUGAGAAGAUUGGAAGUCUAACACAAAGGUGGGGUGAGGGGUGGUGGAUGAUGAUGGGAAAAGGAAUUAUCUGUGGGAUUGAGUGUAGGUAUGUUUGAACAUUUUUAAGGAUUGUAUGAAAUGUAUGUUUGUAUAUUCGCAAUAUGUGUUUAUUAAUGCUGAAUUAUUUUCACAAUAAAAACUUUUUUUUAAAAAGGGACUGGGCAAAUUCAUCAGGAAGGCUAUCCAUGGCUACUAGCAAUUAUGGUUCUGCUCUGCCUCCAUAGUUGGAGUCAACGAUGCUUGCUGGAAACCGCAGGAGGGGAGAGGGGUCUUGUGUUGGGGUCUUGCUUGAGGGUUCUGUUUGUGGUGGACUAGACGGGCCACUGGCCUAAUCCAGCUGGCUCUUAUGUAAAUUUGUCCCUCUACGUGAGUCAGAGAUUUGCCCGUGUGCUUUCCUACAAAUGCCCCUUGCUGGUUCAUAUCCUAGGCUUCCUCCUUUGCCUUCCACAGAGAGUUCGCUGAUCGCAAGGUCUUCCUCUGACUGCGCUGUCCCCUUUUUAUCCCUGAUUGCUUCUUUUUCCAAGGGCAUCUUCCUAAGGACGCAGGAGCGGAAAGUGGCGAUAGCCAGGCUCUUUCCUGUUUGCUGGUCUGCAGGCGACGGGGGCCCUGACCCACUUGGCCUUUGCAUCAAGGUGACUCCAGCGCAGCAGCCAAAACAGUCCCCGUCUUGGUGCAAAACAUCCCUUCCACCCCCACCUGAAAGGAAGAUACCCUCCCACUAAAACAAUGCUCUUUCCCAGCAGGAGUUUGCUCAUCUCCUUCUGAUGCUACAGUAGGGAUACUGAGGCCCGGGGACUUUUAUCUGCUAUUGUUUUAUUUAUGAAUUUUUUAUCCCAUCCCAACCUUCCUCCCCAAGGAGCCCAGGAUGGCAAACAGAUUUUAAAAACAAAAACAGCUCAAAACUAUUAAAGGAAGUUACAAUUUUAAAAAAAUCCAUCUGUCCAGUCAUCUCGAGGUUGCCAGAACAGCAUUUUUUGGCCACCAAAUGCGCAUGGGUAAACAGGAAUGCCUGUUGUCUUUGUCCAUGGAGUUCUCUUGGCAGGGAUACUGGAGUGGCUUGCCGGUUCCUACUCCAGGUGGAUCACGUUUGGUCAAAACUCUCCACCAUCACCUGUUCAUCUUGGGUGCCCUGCUCGGCAUAGUUCAUAGCUUCUCUGAGUUAUUCAAGUCCCUUCGCCACGGUAAGGCCGUGAUCCAUGAAGGGAAUCCAGUGAAAGCUGGACCAUAAAGAAGGCUGAUCGCCAAAGAAUUGAUGCUUUUGAAUUGUGGUGCUGGAGGAGACUCAUGAGAGUCCCAUGGACUGCAAGAAGAUCAAACCUCUCCAUUCUUAAGGAAAUCAGCCCUGAGUGCUCACUGGAAGGACAGAUCCUGAAGCUGAGGCUCCAAUACUUUGGCCACCUCAUGAGAAGAGAAGAGUCCAUGGAAAAGACCCUGAUGUUGGGAAAGAUGGAGGGCACAAGGAGAAGGGGACGACAGAGGACGAGAUGGUUGGACAGUGUUCUCGAAGCUACCAGCAUGAGUUUGACCAAACUGCGG
rnacentral:lncRNA from 1 species